GACGUGGUUACUGAAAAUUGAAAAAAUGUUCCUUUUCAGAAAUCUUAGUUCAAAUUUAAUAAAAUAUGUUUUUUUAAUUGGUGCCAAUCUCUUUGCAUUCAAGCAAACCUAGCGAAAUCACUUCGGCAUUUAAGGAGUUCACGCUGAAGUUAUUAGCGCUACGAUAUGAGAUAUGUCGAGAUUCACGGGUGCCGUGUGCUGAUCUCACAUCGGUGCCUUUGACCUAGCCAAGUUUAGCCCCAAAAAAAGAAACAAACCGAGUGAAAUCAUUUUGGCAUUUAAGGAGUUCGUUCAAGAGUUAUUAGCGCUAAGAUAUCAGAGGCAUCGAGAUUCACACACACACGGUAUGAGUCUCGCGUUUGACCUAGCCAAGUUGAGCACCCAAAAUGAUUGGCGAUCAAAACAAAUUUUUUUUGAAACGGAGGCAAAAGCUUUGCCUCAUCUCAUUAAAUAAGGAGUUCAAACAAGGUUGAAAGGAAAAAGGAAAGAAAAAAAAGGCAACAAAAGCCUACUCUCCCGGCAUAAUACUACUCAUAUGCUUAUCGCCAGCGAGCGCCCAAUUGCGAGCUUCAUUCUUGAUCUUGUAAAAGAUAAUAAGCGGCAUGGUCGAGAUGUUACGGAAGACCCUCGCGUUUCUUUCGUUCCAAAGCUCCCAAAUGACCAGCAUGGCGAUAGAAGCAAUCGCCUUCCUUCUCAUGCCAACUCCCAAGAUGUUGGAAUCCCACCACUCCCGCACCGAAGUUGGUGUUUUGCCACGAAUUUGGGUUGAGCUCUACCAGCCCCAACCAAUCCCUAACCAUCAGCCAAAUGCGGAUAGAGAAUCUGCAAGAAAAAAGAAUACGCGCCGCAGUCUCAGGUUCCCUCUUGCAGAGCUGACAUAUACCGCAAUUCGGCCAACCACGCUUCUCCAGCCUGUCUGCGGUUC
rnacentral:lncRNA from 1 species